rnacentral:rRNA from 1 species
GACGAACGCUGGCGGCGUGCCUAAUACAUGCGAGUAGAACGCUGAAGCGAGGAGCUUGCUCUUCUUGGAUGAGUUGCGAACGGGUGAGUAACGCGUAGGUAACCUGCCUUGUAGCGGGGGAUAACUAUUGGAAACGAUAGCUAAUACCGCAUAACAAUGGAUGACACAUGUCAUUUAUUUGAAAGGGGCAAUUUCUCCACUACAAGAUGGACCUGCGUUGUAUUAGCUAGUAGGUGAGGUAAUGGCUCACCUAGGCGACGAUACUUAGCCGACCUGAGAGGGUGAUCGGCCACACUGGGACUGAGACACGGCCCAGACUCCUACGGGAGGCAGCAGUAGGGAAUCUUCGGCAAUGGGGGCAACCCUGACCGAGCAACGCCGCGUGAGUGAAGAAGGUUUUCGGAUCGUAAAGCUCUGUUGUAAGUCAAGAACGGGGGUGAGAGUGGAAAGUUCACACUGUGACGAUAGCUUACCAGAAAGGGACGGCUAACUACGUG